CUGCAAUACUCCUCGAAACUUGCUGGGAAAAGCAAGAACAAAUCAAGAUAUACCAUACAAAAUGCUCCACAAUACAGUAAGCAUUGCCAUUUGCAUCAGCUGGAGUUGCUCCAAUACGUUGUAUUAUCAAUAGCACAAAAAAAAAAAAAAACACGAGCUAUAACAAUGAUUUUUACAAAAUUCACUGACAGACGGAAGAAACUAUGAAUUUAAACUAGACGGCAAAGUAGAAAUGACGCUAUAACAACGAUUUUUAC
rnacentral:lncRNA from 1 species